CAAAGGGCAGGGAUCGGGUUUGCUCCAAAUAGCAAAGGUUGGUGUUGAAAGCAAUGAUUUUUUCCCAACUUAGUUCAUUCACUAUCAUCUCCGAUCAGUUCACUGUUCAUCCCAAUUUUCUGACUCAUUCCCCCAUAAUUCCUCGUCUUUUAAAAAUUCUCAAAGAAGAGAGAGACUGAGAGAGGGAGGGGGAGAGAGGGAGAGAGUGAUGGAAAAAAGCCAGUUGUGUAUUUGUGUUUCCCACCAAGUUCGCCUUUUCCUGGGACCGUGAAAUCCUUCUGCCUCUUCUUAGGCAAGUGGGUCCUUUCCGGGUGGCCCUACUCUUCCACUUGCUUCUCCCUCUCUCUGCUCUCUUAGCCUCUGCUUACCUGCUCUUCUAUUUUCUUUUCUUUAAUGUUCUCUUCGUACUCCUCCUGUCUCUUCUAUUUCUGUGCUCUGCUUCCCAGUACCAAAAAGGAAGAUCCUUUCUUUUCUCAAUCUGGGUGCGCAAUAGUCUGUGUUUUAUUGCUUCGUAAAGGUGACGCGCACUUUAGAGAGCUUCUGAAAUUGGGGUAGCUUCGGAUGGUUGUUUGGGUAUUUCAGGAUCCACUUCCUAGUGGAAUUUACUUGUCCUGUGAAAAGGAGUCUGUUCCCUUUCAAUUCAAGCUUAUAUAUCACCGUGAUUAGCUUCACUUUGGUGGGUGCUGCUUGAAAGUUGAAAUGAUUCUUAGUGUUCUUUAGAUUUUGAAGUUCUGUCGUGGCUCUCUGAACAAUUUAUUCGAUACCCCUCCUCUGAGACGUUGCGAUCUUGAUUUCAUGCUUGGUCCAAGACAAUGGAGAGGGUUCUACUCCUUUAGCAUUCAAUACGGUAUCUUAGUGAAAAGAUAUGAAGAACAUUCUCAAGAAGCUUCAUAUUAUGCCCCAUCAAUCAGAAGAUACUGAAGGGUCUACUUCAUCGAGGGGAAACAAGUCCAACGAUAGCCCGUCCCCUAAGAAGCUUUCUCACUCACGUUUUCCUCAAAUUGCUGAGAAUAAACCCUUUUCAGGGCUUUCGAAUUGGUUGCAUGCAGUUGCUAAUAAGCAGAGUCCUAGUCCUCCAUCGGCGAACCUUGCAAUAGGAGAGAGAAUGGAACCGUCUGAUUCAAUGAGCAGUGGUGGUCUGGAUAUUGUUUCUGAUUCUGCGAGGUGUGAUACAGCUUCUAGCACUUCGAAGGAUCCUGAAAUAGAGGAAGAGUAUCAGAUUCAACUGGCUUUAGAGUUGAGCGCAAAGGAGGAUCCUGAGGCAGUGCAAAUUGAAGCUGUUAAGCAAAUCAGUUUAGGCUCUUGUGACCCUGACAAUACACCAGCUGAAGUUGUGGCCUAUCGAUACUGGAAUUACAAUGCUCUUGGAUAUGAUGACAAGAUUUUAGAUGGUUUCUAUGAUCUUUAUGGGAUCUUAAUUGAGUCGGUCUCUGCAAGAAUGCCUUCCCUCAUAGAUCUGCAAGGAACAUCAAUCUCAGAUGGUGUCGCAUGGGAAGCAGUCUUAGUCAAUAGGGCCGCUGAUUCUAACUUGCUAAAACUUGAGCAAAAAGCCCUAGAGCUAGCAAGCAAGUCAAGAUCAGAUAUUGAAGUAGCAGUAAAUACCAAUUUGAUGAAGAAGCUUGCCAUACUAGUGGCUGACUAUAUGGGUGGACCAGUUUCAGAUCCUCAACAUAUGAGAAGUGCAUGGCAGAGUCUUAGUUAUAGUCUGAAAUCAACCCUUGGUAGCAUGGUUUUGCCACUUGGUUCUCUGACCAUUGGAUUGGCUCGGCACCGUGCAUUGUUAUUUAAGGUUUUAGCUGAUUGUGUGGGUAUUCCAUGUCGAUUGGUCAAAGGACAGCAAUAUACGGGUUCUGAUGAUGUGGCAAUGAACUUUAUCAGGAUUGGUGAUAUAAGGGAGUACAUUGUUGACCUAAUGGCUGAUCCUGGAACACUUAUUCCAGUGGAUGCAACUGGAUCGCAUAUUGACUAUAAUGAAUCAAUAUAUUUUUCCAUUCCUUCAACUGGAGACCUUGGUUCCUCUCACAUAGCAUUGUCCAGCAGAGGCAUUGGAAGUUCAAUGGAAGAAACUUCAGACUCUGUGGCAUUGGACAAUUCAAACAAAUCAGAGCAGUUUGCCUCUGUCGGGUCUGACAAAAGCAGGCCUGACAAAAGCGUGCCUGCUCCUGGCAAGGGAGAACCAAAGAGACCCUUGUAUAGUUUCAGAAGUCCCCUCAAUGUUGAGAAGAUUGCACUGGAAACUCCUAGCAGGCCUAAUUAUACACAUGGACAUGCAAGAUCACCAUCUUGGACAGAAGGGAUCAGUUCCCCUGCAGUUCAUAGAACGAAGGUUAAAGAUGUUUCACAAUAUAUGAUUGAUGCUGCUAAAGAUAAUCCUAACUUAGCUCAAAAGCUUCAUAAUGUUUUACUCGAAAGUGGUGUUGUUGCUCCUCGAAACUUAUUUUCUGAGAUAUAUAAUGAGCAACUCAAUGCCCCAUCCCUGACUGAAAGAAAAAAUGAACUUAAAGAGGGGAUUAUCCAGCAAGAAACUAAGGUUGCUGAUAAUCUAGGUCCUGCUCAAAUUUUGCCUCCUUUGCCUCACUUCGGAAUUCAUUCCAAAGCAAGCACUAGCAGUCAGUCAGAGCAUUCUAAGCCUGUAGAAGGUUUAGGGACCAACCUUACUCUUGAUACAAGGGAAGCAGUCGGUCAGCACACACCAUCACAAGAAGAAGCUAGUCCUGUGAAAUAUGGGAAAAAUGUCCCAGUUGCUGCCGCCGCAGCCGCAGCUGCUGCUGUUGUUGCAUCUUCCAUGGUAGUUGCUGUGGCAAAGUCAGGCACUGACUCAAAGAUUGAGCUUCCUGUAGCAGCUGCUGCGACUGCUACUGCUGCAGCUGUUGUUGCAACCACUGCAGCUGUGAGUAAACAGUAUGAGCAGGGCAGUCGGAGUGAUGUAGAUACAGAUGGUGGUUAUGAGCCAAAGGGUAGUGGUGACGGAGAGCACGGUACGUUAGGAGAAAACCCAGAAGGUGAGAAGAUAUCUGAUAAAUCAGGAAGUAAUGGAAGCACAAAAUCUGAUUCUGCACUAGAUGAUGUUGCUGAGUAUGAGAUUCCAUGGGAGGAAAUGGUGCUGGGUGAGCGCAUUGGACUUGGGUCAUAUGGGGAGGUGUACCAUGGCGAAUGGAGAGGAACUGAAGUUGCUGUGAAAAGGUUUCUAGAUCAAGAUAUAUCUGGUGAAUCACUUGAAGAAUUCAAAAGUGAGGUUCAAAUAAUGAAAAGAUUGAGGCAUCCAAAUGUUGUUCUCUUCAUGGGAGCUGUAAUUCGACCUCCAAAUCUGUCAAUUGUUACAGAAUUUCUUCCCAGAGGCAGUUUGUAUAGAUUAAUUCACCGUCCUAACAGCCAAUUAGAUGAGCGAAGGCGAUUGAGGAUGGCCCUCGAUGCUGCUCGAGGAAUGAAUUAUUUGCACAACUGCUCUCCAAUGAUAGUCCAUCGUGAUUUGAAGUCCCCAAAUCUUCUUGUAGACAAAAACUGGGUUGUGAAGGUUUGUGAUUUUGGUUUAUCGCGAAUGAAGCAUAGUACAUUCCUCUCUUCCCGAUCAACUGCUGGGACUGCGGAGUGGAUGGCUCCAGAAGUGUUACGAAAUGAACCUUCAAAUGAAAAGUGUGAUGUUUAUAGCUUUGGAGUCAUACUAUGGGAGCUCUUGACGCUGCAGCAGCCAUGGGGAGGAAUGAAUCCAAUGCAAGUUGUCGGAGCCGUGGGUUUCCAACAUCGCCGGCUUGACAUUCCUGACAAUAUGGAUCCUGCCGUUGCUGAUAUUAUCAGGAAAUGCUGGCAGACAGAUCCAAAGCUGAGACCCACAUUUGCUGAGAUCAUGGCUGCUCUGAAGCCAUUACAAAAGCCGAUUGUGAGUUCUCAAGCGGCCAGGUCUGGUGCACAGUCAAAGCGAGUUGUGGAAGACGCAGCAGGAUAAGGAAAAAAUUGUACAGCUAACUGAAUAUUUGUUCAUUCUAUUGCCGAAAGAAAAAGGGCAAGCUGUAAAGCAUCACGAAUGAGCAUAUAAAAGAAGAAAAAAGGAAGAUUGAUUGAAGACCAUGACCCAACAUGCAUUCUCAUACUGUGAUUCGUUUCCUCUCUUCAGUUCCAGUUUUUGUUCUGCAAUCUGUGGUGCAGCCAUUGUCGAGAAACUGCUGCUCCAAACUUGGAAAGAAGUAACCUAUUGAGGCGGAAACUGUUUGGUGGUGUCAAUAGAGAACAGAAACAUUGGGCAAAAGCGUGUAAAUCCUUUGUGAGCCUGAUUUGUUUGUGCCAAGCAAUGCUUUACUCUCUGUUCUAAUCGAAAUAGUAGUGAAAUUGUGCAGUUUGGUCAAAUGAAAUGCUCGUACAACAGGGCAAUAGUUCUCCAUGUCACCACCCCUUGCCAUUUACAACGUCAGUUCAUUGAUUCUACCAGAAAAUUUUCGUUGGACUGACAGUUUUAGACGGUACUGUGAUCUGGAAAAUCUCACUUAAACGUGUUUCUUAAUAGUGUAAAUUCUUUGUUUCGAACCAUGAGCUAAUCUCACUUUCGUUUUUAAACAGUUAACUGUGAGGUUAAGUGUUAUAUGAAACAUGUACUUAACUAUUAAUAUGACCAAGUUCUAUUUUGUAAUUUUGAACUACAAACGUGUUUCCGUG